rnacentral:lncRNA from 1 species
GGUUUCAUUUCUCUCAGACUUGUGGGAUUACUCCAAGCUUUCAUUUUUACUUUGCUCCGUGAGAGGCAGAGCUUGGGCUGGCCCCGGGGAUUUGUGUGGGGUGAGGAGAUGGAAUGGGCCAGGGGGGAUGGGGAUGAAGCAGGAGGAUGAGGAUGAUGAGGAUGAAGCAGGAGGAUGAGGAUGAAGCAGGAUGAUGAUGAUGAGGAUGGGGAUGAAGCAGGAGGAUAAGGAUGAAGCAGGAGGAUGAGGAUGAAGCAGGAGGAUGAGGAUGAGGAUGAAGCAGGAUGAUGAUGAGGAUGGGGAUGAAGCAGGAUGAUGAUGAUGAUGAGGAUGAAGCAGGAGGAUGAGGAUGAAGCAGGAGGAUGAGGAUGAGGAUGAAGCAGGAGGAUGAGGAUGAAGCAGGAGGAUGAGGAUGAGGAUGAAGCAGGAUGAUGAUGAUGAUGAGGAUGAAGCAGGAGGAUGAGGAUGAAGCAGGAGGAUG